rnacentral:lncRNA from 1 species
AAGUGCUAUUGUUCAAUUCCCGUUUACGUUUGUUUCCCGGUAAGUUACGUUCUAAGUGGAUUGGACCGUUUUUUAUUACUAACAUAUCUUCUUAUGGUGCCAUCCAGAUUCAAAGUCUCAAAACAGGUCAUGAAUUCCAAGUGAACGGACACCGUUUGAAGCCAUAUUAUGAGAACUUUGUUGAACAAACCGUGGAUGAUAUUUCUUUGGGUGCCGUGGGCACAAAUGGAGAAUGAAUGGGGUUUUCGUCCGGCUGUACGACGUAAAAGAAAGCGCUACUUGGGAGGCAACCCAUGCAAUUCAACAAAGGAAGACCAAGGAAUUACUCCAAUUCCAGAUUUGCGUUCCUAAACUCUUCACUUUGUUGUUUAUUUCGAAUCUGCCUCUUUAGUUGUUUUAGUUGCUGUGUGUGUGUUUCUUUUUGUUUAGUGUGAUUUUAUGCUUGAAACAUUGAGGACAAUGUUUGAUUUAAGUGUGGGGGGGGUAACUAAGUGUUUUAGAUGCAAAUUCGUGGGAUUUUAUCACCCUUAACUUGGAGACUUGUUCCUUGCUGUUUUUAAGUGUUUUUGAGCAGUUUUGGUGUGUUUUAGUGUGUUUUGAUGCAAAAAUCCGAAAAUCACAUAAAAAUUUGAAAAAUUUGUUUUAAAAACCCAAAAAGAGUUGUUUUUGUGUGUUUGUUUGUGUCUUAGGGUACCUUCCAACACAAUGAUGAGGAUUCGGUUUGUAAUCACAUGGCUGUUAAAGAGAGUGAUUAACAUGGAUGAAAGUUUGAUUUACUCUUUGUUAUGCUUAGUUGUGGUUAUAACUUAUGAAUUCACAUGCAAUCAUAAAAGAAAAAAAUCAGUUUUUUUUUUGUAACAUGCUUGAAGGAAGGAACUCAAACUAACGCUACAACCUUGUGAGACUUGAGCCUAAACGUUUAUUUGGAGAGUUAAAAUCUGUGCAUUCUUUGUUUUCUAAAAGUCGUUGCAUGAUCUCAUUAUUCUUUGCUUGGUUGCUACUUAGAAGGCGUUUCAUCAUUUAGUUCCAAAUGCUAGAACUCAUGCCCAUUUCAUUCAAAGCAUGUUAUUGAUGUGCAUAACACACAUUCAAGAUGAAGUUGUGUAGUGACCACCACCUUAGCCAAAAAGCCGUGUGCCCUAUGUCAUUGUGAUUUGUAGGUUUUUAACCCCGUUGAGCCUUGUUUAGCCUAUUCUUUGUUAACCCAUGUUUUCCUCACCUAGCCUAGAUUAGGACCAUCCAUACCCUUGUUCUUAAAGCAUAGUAAACCAUGAUUCAAAUUGAAUUCCGUUUGAUUUAUGUUGGCAGAAAACAAGUGUGGGGGAAGUAUUUCUUUUGUGAUUUUGUGUGCCAUAGGCACGUGUGGAAAGAAAAGAAAAAAAAAAUUCGUGGAAAAAGAAAAAAAAAAAUUUGAAAAAAUAUGAGAAGUAAAAAAAAAAAAAAAAAAAAAAAAAAAAAAGAGUUGAAAAGUUGAGACAAAGACUUCCAAAGUAUUGUUUGUUGAAGUAAGGGUCCAAAACAAUGAAUUUGACCCUAAGGAAUUGUUUAAGUCUCCCCCUUGUGUGUUAAAGUUAAUGUCUGAAAUCUAAGUGAAUUCUAAGUCUCAAUUUCAUUGCUUUGCUUUCUAUCGCUUGAAGAACGGUUGUUUUCCUUAUCCUUUCCUUGUUAACCAAUACCCCGAGCCCCAUUACAACUCUUAACUUCUAUCUUGAGUGUUAUGUGUUCCAAUUUGUGGAGUUUGAAUUUGGUAUGAGCAUAUGGUGUCACUGGUUCUCGCAUCUAAGUAGUAGCACUCCAUUCAUGAGAUCAUAUCUAACAUGCUUCUUAACUCUAGAAAUUGUGUUCUUUGUGAUACAUACAUGUGAGCAUUCGUUUUCAUAUCUACAUCAAUCUUCUCACAUAUGACUAGUGUAGGGUGUGGAGUUAGAAAAUCUGAGUGAAAAUAGAGUGUAUAUCUUGUAAGGAAUUGAGGGAAUUCUCUAAGGCAUGUUACUACAUUCAAAGCAUUGUUUUAAUUGAUUACUUGUGAACUAGUGAGUAGUGGCUUUAAUUAAGUAUGUGCUUGUGUAAAGAUGACUCAAAUCUGUGGGGAUAACAAUCUUUAACAUGUCAUGUGCAUUGGAAAUCCCUGAGGCAAACGUUGGAAGGUUUAGGUUUUGUUUUGGUUAGUUUGUUUCGUUUUGUUUUCUUUCUUUUGUUUGUUUUGCUCGAGGACUAGCAACAGCUAAGUGUGGGGGAAUUUGAUAGGAGCAUAUUUAUGCGCCUUAGUUAGCUAGUUCUUAUGCAUUUUUCUUAUGUUUUCUUCGUUAAAGUAGUCUUUUAAGCUACUUUCAUGUGUUUUCAGGUUUAAAGGACAUAUUACAUGAAAUGAUGCAAUUUGGAGCUAUUGGAGCAAAAAAGUGAGCUUGGAUUGAAAAGGACAUGCUUGGAACACAAGGUUGGGAUGAAAUUGACGAGUUGAAGAUUUGAGGUUUCCUACUUGAAGGACUAGCAACAGCUAAGUGUGGGGGAAUUUGAUAGGAGCAUAUUUAUGAACCUUAGUUAGCUAGUUCUUAGGCAUUUUCGUUAUGUUUUCUUCGUUAAAGUAGUCUUUUAAGCUACUUUCAUGUGUUUUCAGGUUUAAAGGACAUAUUACAUGAAAUGAUGCAAUUUGGAGCUUUUUGGAGCAAAACGUGAGCUUGGAUUGAAAAGUACAUGCUUGGAACACAAGGUUGGGAUGAAAUUGAAGAUUUGAAGAUUUAAGGAUUCCUAGUACAAGAAGGAUUCCUAGUCCGAGGAGGAGUCCUACUCAAACGAGGUUUCCUACUUGAAGUAGGAAAGCUAAGCCUAAAAGUUUCCAUUUUGGGUUGAUCUUUCCUAAACCUAAAUGGCCUUGCGUUUGAGCAACAUUAGAAGGUUCCGAAGCGUUGGAAGACACAAAGAAAGGUGUUAGAAUAUUUUCUCAUCCUUGCCGUGGGUUAGGGCUUAUUUUCUCUUGGUUUUGGGCUUUCUAGAAGCCCUAUCCACACUCCCACUAAUCAGCCGCACCUUUCCCUUCUAGAACACCUAUUUGCCUUGCCUUGCAAGGCAUUCUAGAAGCCCUAACCCUAGCCCAUUAAACCUGCCGCACCCUAGGCCCUUUUCCCACUAAAAUUCUGAUUGUUUUAACCUAUUUUCUGGUGGAUUUGGGUUUCUAGAAACCCUAAUCUGAUUUGCUAGGGUUUUUAAGUGCCUAUAUAUACUCAUUUAACCCUUUUGCCGCACCUACCACCCCCCAUAUUCAUUCUACACGCCAAAAACCCUAGUUCUAAUUCUUGCCGCAUCUUCCACCCCCAAACUCCCAACUUUCUGCCAAAAUUCAACCAUAGCCGCACCUUUCCAUCACCAUAACCACCUUGUGCAGCCACCAUUGAAGGAGGAGAGGAGUAGUGCCGUGCAAACCAAAGGAAGGAAGAGACCUUGCACAUGCAAUCUGCAACUAGUGGAGUGUUUGGAGUUCUUUCUUCUCUUGUUUCUGUUUUCAUGUUUAAUUUAACUUGCUGUUCAAUUAUGUUAAACAUGUGGAACUAAUUUCUUUUUAGUUAGAGGCGAAUUUGAAGCCAUGGACAUAUGUUGGUUAUGAUUUGAUUUACUCUAGUUAUGAAUUCAUGAACUUUAGAUGUGGUUUACUUUUCUGUUUUGAUUGAUAACAUGCUUAUGUAUGUGGGUUGAGGGUCGACACUUAAUUUGCAUGCCUAAACUUGAUGCUAGGAUAUAAGGGAAUUUCACCUAAUCGUUAUUGACUUAUAUUCAUAAGUAGUAAAAGUCGCUAGUCACGAUUGUGUUAAGUAAACCCUAGGCUGGAUUAACAUGCGUAUUCCAUAGUUAUGAAUGCCUAGUCGAUGUUUAUGAUUUCCGUUGAACUUAAUGAUCUUUGUUGAAUGUCUCUAUCAUGCGUAUUCCAUAGUUAGGGACUUUGAUGAGGAAUAAUUUGGUUGUAAUGCGUAUUCCAUUCAAUCCAAUGAAUCUAGGGAAAUCGGAAAGUUAAUUUAAGCGGACCUAAUUAACUUGGAGCAUUGUCAUUCAUCGUUUGUUGAAGUCAUAACUGGGAAUCAAAUUAUAUGCAUAUGUUCAUGUGUGGAUAAGGAUCCUCUAACUAGCUUUUCACCCUUGAAUUCAUCUCAAUUUCGUUUUAGUUUGCUUGAUUUGCAAUUUGUUUAGUUUUAAUUCAAUUUCGUCAACAAAUCAAACACCCUUUUCUGUUUUAUGUUAUUAGGUCAGAAUCUGUCCUAAUUAGGUUCUUUAGAGUGUUUUGAGUCAAAAUAGGUUAGGUUUAGUCCAUAAACAUUGUUUGAGUCUUAGUUUAGUCUUAAAUUCGUCCAAUUUCAUCUCUAGAAUCUGUUUUGAGUCUAAUUGUUAGUAGUGUGCUGUUUUGAGUCUUUUAAGUGUUUUCUGAGUUAGUUAAGUUACAAUCUGUUUUCUUUUAAUCUUUUGAGUCAAAGUAAGAGUUAAUUUCGUCUAAAUCACUUGUUAGGUUUAGAAUUGAGUCAAUUUCACUAAGUUUUGCAGAUUUGAGUGUCUUAGGUCAAAUUAGAGUCUAUAGAGUCUAUUCUUGUGUUUUUAAGUCUAGUUUAGUGUUUUAAAGUUUAAUUUGAGUAGAUUAGCAGCCCUAGUUAAUCCCCGGUUUAGAACGAUCCCUAUUUGCUCAUAUACUACAAUUGUCAUCCAUAGGGUUUAAUUUGUGUGUCAAGUUAAUUUUCACAUCACAUGCUUGGAGCAAGGGAGAUGGACAAAAUUGAAGACCUAAAGAUGCUAGGAUUCCUAAUUGAAGAAAGAUUCCUAAUUGAAGAAAGAUUCCUAAUUGAAGAAGGAUUCCUAUAAGAAGAAGGAAUGUUAAGCCAAGGUUUCCUACUUUGGUUUUAACCUUUCCUAAUCCUAAAAGUCCAGCAACAAAGAAGACUCUAAAUCAUAUUAAGACACUAAAUAAGAACUUCUAGAAGUCCUAAACAUCCAGCCGCACCUCCCUUGUCCCUUUCUCUUCCUUGUCAUGCAAGGGAGAGCCUUCCUUUCCUUUUCCUUGUUUCACAUACCCUUUCCCCUUUCUAAAACCUCUUUGCCACAUACUCCCUUACCUUUUCCUUAGGAUUUUGACUUUAAUUCCUAUUUCCCCUUAAGUUUUGGUGUAAUUUCUGUUACCUAAAUUAUUUCCUAGCCUUAAAUACCCUAAACUCUUUAAAUAAACACCCUAGCCGCAUUCUCUAUUAUUCAUUCACCAUUCUACACAUCCAUUGAUAGGAGCAUAUUUAUGCGACUUAAUUAGCUUGUUUCCUUGCAUUUACGUUGCUAGUACUUAGUAAUUUUAGUAUUUUAAGCUAUUUUCGUGCAAUUUCAGGUUUUAAGGACAAAGUAUGCAAACAUGUGCAUUUUGGAGCCUUUUGAAGCAGUUUUGGGCAUCAAAUGGAUUACAUAUGCUUGGAGGUAAGAAGAUGGAAGAAAUUGAAGAUCAAAUGAGCAUAGGAUUGAAUGAUGAUGUGAAGAAUUGGAUUCAAGACAAAUAAAGAACGAAGUGUUCAAAAUUGGAAGCCAAAGUUUCUCAAGUUGGAAGUUUCUAUUCUUGGAGGUUUCCAUUCUUGAUAGUUUCUAUUCGUGGCUUGGAAGUUUCCUAAUCUUUCCUCACCUAUGUUCCAGCCACAAAGGGAUUCCAAAACAUAUUAGGGCACUUAAUUGGUUGUUCUAGAAGCCCUAAACCUUGCCCAAAGUCCUUGCCGCACAAAAGCAUCCUUUCUUUCCUAUUUUCUGAUCUUAAAACCACAUUCCCUUUUAUUCAAGCAACCAGCCGCACCUUUCCCCUCUUUCUUACCUAUUUUCUGACCCAAAAUUACAUUGCCCUUUGUUCUAAAGCCUUGCCAUACAAGGGGAUAGGAUUCUUACCUAUUUUGUGCCUCAAAACACAUUCCUAAAUCUGUCCUACAAUUUCUGCCGAAUUUCCCUUUCCUUUUCUCUUUAAUUCCUGCACCUUUCUUGCCUAUUUUCCAUUGAUUUCUGACUUUUAAUUAUAGGACAAAAUAGCUAAGUUAUUUCUUUCCCUAAAACUCAUAAAAACCGUGCCCUAGCCCCUAUAUAAAACCCUUUUUGCCGCAAACUCUGGAGCACUCUUCUCUUCUCUUCUCUUCUAAUCAGCCAUUCAACACUCCACCCUUCACCAUAACCUACCUACAUCCAUCCACCACCACAAAAACCUUCACCCAUCCCUUGUGCCGCAGCAAAGAAAAAGGAAGGUGACCCUUGGACGUGCUUGCCAUUCAAGACGUUAGAUUGUUGGAGCUUUUCUAGGUGUUUUCAUUCUUUGUUUUUAAUGUCUAAAUUUAUGUAUCUUUGUUUUGUGGACAUGAGGAACUAAGCCCUUCUUGGCUAGGGGGCUAUUCAAAACCAUGAUUAUAUUUGCAUUAUGAAUUGAUUACCUUCAGUUGUUAUUUCAUCAGUUGUGAAUUCAAUUUGCUUAACUGUUUGAUUGAUAACUUAUUCUUGUAUGUUUAUUAAGAGUGCACACUUAGUUUUCAUGCAAGGAUUUGAAGCUAAAAUAUAAGGGAGUUUCACCUAAUAGUUACAAACUUAUAUUUGCAAGUAGUGGAGGUCGCUUAUAAACGAUCGUGUUAAGUGAAUUCUUGGCAAAAGUUUCAUGCUUUUCAUAGUAACAAUUGCCUCGUCAAUGCUUAUAGUUUUCAUGAAACUUAAUGAUCUUUUAUUGUACCUUUAUUGUGCUUUUCACGUAGGGGACUUUUAGAGAAUGCUUUGAGUUGUUGUAUGUGCUUUCCCAUCCAAUUCAUUAACUUAAGGAGAACUUGAAGGUUAAAAAAGUGCUGUCACAGUUGACCUGGAGUAUUGAGUUUCAUGACUUAUUGAGAGAAGCAAUUGGAAAUCAAUUUGAAUGCAAGUGUGUCAUGUGUGGAGAAGAACCCCCUAUUUAACCCAUCACCCAUCAAUUCACCUAAAUUUGUCUAAGAAUCUAUUUAAAUUGUUUUUGUUUUGCUUUACUUAUUUUCGUCCAAAACCAACCCCCACUUUACUUUAUUGAGUCAUAUUAGUUAGAACUUGUUUUAGAUUGUGUUUUUAAGUGUUUUGAGUCAAGAUAUAAUCAAUUUUCGUCCAAAACUUGUGUUAGUAGCAGAAACUGCCUUAGUGUUGUUUUUAGGCAGUUUUGAGUCUUUUAAGUUUGUUUUGAGUCUUGUGAGUCUUGUUAAGUGUUUAAGUUUAUUAUUGUGUUUCUAAGUCAGUUUAGAGUAGAUUAGCAAACCCUCCUAAUCCCCGGUCCAGAACGAUCCCUACUUAUCCAUACUACAAUUGUCAACAAAAGGGUUUAAUUUAUGUGUUAAGUUAUUUGACGCAUCAAAUUUUUGCGCCGUUGCCGGGGAUUAGCAACUUUGCUAAUCCCCCGUUGUUUCUUUUUAUUUCUUUUUUGUGUCUUUUGUUUUAGUUACUGAUUUGUUUUGCUUUGUUUUAUUUACUUUUGAUAUUUGAUUUAGUUUUGUUUCUUUGAUUUCAGGUACUAGAGAAGUAAGACAUGGAUUUUGCUAACAUUCAAGCUCAAUUGGCGAAUCUUACUUCUCAAUUGUCACAGAUUGCCGGAAGGACCACAAUGCAAAGUGUCCCUACAUGUGGUGUGUCCUAUGGGCAAGGAUAUCCAACUCAUCAAUGUUCUCAAUUCGCUGCAAAGGAAGAUGCUUGGGGUUAUCAAUGCCAUAGCCAAUCAUGGGACAACAUGUUUUCCAAUGCUUACAAUUCGGAUUGGAGAGAUUAUUCAGAUUACAUGUGGGGAGAACCUCAACAAUUCCAACAUGAUGGAUAUUGGCAGCAAGAAGAGUUCUAUCAAUGGCCAUAUGCACCAUCACAGCCACCACAACAAUCUGCCUAAUUCAAUUCAGGUACGUCUCUAGAUAAUGAUAUGUUGAAUAAGUUACUCACCUCUUUGAAUCAGGAAGUAGAAAAUCAAAACAAAGAGAUGCAAAAUCAAGCCACGAAGACGGGCAAAUUGGAGGAGCAAAUUGGGCAGAUUAUGGAGUUCAUGGCACAAAUUCAAGAGCAAAGUGAACUCUCCAACUCAACUAUAGAAAAUUUGAAGGAAAAUUUUGAAAUCCAUGAUGCUAUCACUUUGGAAAGUGGCAUGGAGGUUGGAACAAGCCUAAAAACGUCCAAACCAAUCCAAAACAUGGAUGAACAGCUGUUGUUCGAAGAAGAAGAGGAUGACAAGGCCACGGCAAGGGAAGAACCACCCUUGCCGCAGCCUACCCUUGCUCCACUACCCUUGCCGCAACCUCCCAAUGCUCCACCACUGUCCAAUACAGGUAAGUUGGGUCCAAUUUUCGUUAAUUCUAACCCUAUUCCACCUAAUGUCCCUUUUCCUCGCAGGUUUUUGAUUCCCAAGGUGCAAAGUGAUAUCCAAAUUCUUGGUACAGCAAACCAAGUUUCAGAUUGUGUUGAAUUGUUUGAAGAACUUUGUACAUCAAAAAGAAGGAUUCAAGAAAAAGAAGUGGCUGGAGAAUGUCAAGAAUUCAUCAAAGAGGACGUAUUUGAAACAACAAAGCCCAAAGAAGUUGAGUUUGAUGACACGAGACAAAUCACAACCAUCGUAGUAAACCUGGCCAAAUUCAAAGUCCCUAAAACGUUCAAAGAAGUGGUGUUCGUCCUUGAGUUCUUAUCGGAGAAAAAAGGUAAGAUAUUUUCUCCAAUUUCAAAUACGUUUUCUACUAACAUAUUGAUUUUGAUGAUUCAGGCACCCAUGUUAGAAUUUAAACCAUUGCCGAAUCAUUUAAAGUAUCACCGUCCAUUCAAAGAUCAAUUCCAUGCCUUGGCCACCAAUGGAGCUUAAUUGGAGGUCUUCGUCCGGCUGCAAGACGUUAAAGCAAGCGCUUCUUGGGAGGCAACCCAUGCAUUCUGUUGGAAAUGUGCCCUAAAACCAAUCAUAUGAUGAUACUUUACAGAUAUUUCACAAAGUUUAACUAAUGUAGUUUAAAUAUAAAGGGCAAAGAUUAUUGUUUGAGCCGUCUCAUAUAAAUGUUAUAUGCUUAAACGAUAAGUCCAAGGAAUAUGUGAUUGGGAGAAUGCAAUCUAAAAAAGUUAGAUUCAUGAGACCAUUCUUUCGUAAACAUAUCCUAAACGUUCCUGAUCAUAGGAUUGCCAAUUGGGCAUUGACAGUCCGUUAAGAUCAGUACGUGCUGUGUCUUCUCUCAGGGAGAGUGACUAGUCUCGAGUCAUUGGUGUGUGUGACAUCAAGACAAGUACGUAGGUGCUCAAUAGAGAAUGAGUUCACUGAACACGAUCAACGAAGAGUUCUCAUAUUCAUGUCACAUGAGAACUCAUGGUUGGGAUCAUGCAAAGUAGUCCUUUGACCUGAGGCAUCAUAGUUGUCUUGUGGUUAAGUCUUUGAUCUUUGAUUAUGUCAAAGUCACUCCAUCAGGAGGGUGUCCACGGCAUAGUUAGGGUUAAGCCACUUAGCUAUGGAGGCAAGUGAAUGCGCAACAAGGGAUCUCUGACCUUCAAACCGUUUGAGGGAGAAUAAUCUAUGAUAUGAUUAAGAAUCUCUGAUCAGAGUAUGAAUGAGAUUUAGGAAGUCGUUCCAAAUCACAUUCAAGGUAAUCAUAUAAGCACACGAAUCACAUUGGAUAAUAGACAUGAAUAAACUAUCAAACCAAACAAUGUGGUCAAGAGUAUUGUAUUAGAGAAAGACCGUAUUCCAUUUGUAAUCCUAAACUGAAUAGGUUCUCCACCUCUUCUGAUUAGCUUGGGUAACCAUGAUAUGCUGCUAGGUGUCACUCAUGGUUUGUGGAAGCCCUAAAUGUGUAUAAUCACUAAAGGGAGAAUUGAAAGUAAGUUUCAAUUCACAAUCGGUUUGAAAGAGUUAUAAUCGCCCACUGCCUCGCUAAAAGGAACCUAAUGGAUCGUACACCGUGUAAGGUAAAGAUUGAAAACAACGGAGAUGAGUAAGAAUAAUUAAAUGGUUUAAUUAUUUAUGGCAAGGAUUAAUUAAUAUGUUAAUUAAUCAAACGAAUAAGUUCGUUAAAGACCUCAGGAUAGUUUUGGACCUUAAGGCCCAAUGGGCUUCGAACGUCAAGUCCAUUGACUUAAGUUGUAUGACAACUUAAUGAAUAAUGAUUCACAAAGGCCCAAAUAGUCCAAUGAAUCCCUAUGGCCGGCCAUUUAGAGAUGGAGUGGGUUUUGGACUUAUUUACAAGUUUGCCACUCCAAUGAAUUAAGGUAUAAAUAUGACUUUAUAGCCAAAAUUCAUUUAGGGUUUUCUUUUGGAGAAAGGAUGAGAACACAAAGCUCUCUUUUCUCUCUAAAGAGGCCGGCCACCCUAGAGGAAAUUAACUAGCAAUCUUGCUUCCUCUAGGUCACUCAUUUCUUCAUCAAUCCAUCCUUGGUGUGGAGACUUAGAGGUUCUCAAUUUUGGGAACUUGGAGAAACCUAUUUCAUCCAUCCAAAUCCAUAGAUCUAAGAUGCAAGGAAUGAAGGCCCUCUCUUUGGGUGAUUAGCCUUUGCUUAUGCAAAGAGGAAUCUACAAAGGUAUAAUUUCUCAACUCACUUUGAUUUGAGUUGAGUCUUGGUUCACCAAUCUACUAGGCUUUGAAUUUCAUGGUUAAUGUUUUGUUUUUAAGUGCAUGCAAACAUGAUUCUGCCUUUUAAUUGUUAAUAGCAUGCUAUAGAUGUUGCUUAAAUGAACAUGUUUUUACAAAUAUUUCCUUCACAUUCAACUUAGGAACGGUGGAACUUUCACUCCACACUCAGAUUUGCGUUCCUAAACCUUUAUUUUAUCAAACUUAGUUGUUUUUUUUUUGUUUGUUUGCUUUCUGUGAGUUUAUGCUUAAAACAUUGAGGACAAUGUUUGAUUUAAGUGUGGGGGGAUAACAAAGUAUUUUUGAUGCAAAUUCGUGGGUUUUAUUACCUAUCCCCUCUAAAGUUGUUUCUCACUGUUUUGGUGUGUGUUGAAGUAAAAAAACGAAAAUUUGAUAAAAAUUUGAAAAAUUGUUUUGAAAAAGCAAAAAAGAGUUGUUUUUGAAUCGUUUUUGUGUGUUUGUGUCUUAGGGUACCUUCCAACACAAUGAUGAGGAUUUGGUUUUUAAUUGCAUGACUAUUAAAGAAAGUUAUAAACAUGGAUGGAAGUUUGAUAUGCUCUUUGGUUUAUGCUUGGUUGUAGUUAUAGUUUACGAAUUCACAUGUAAUCACAAAAAGAAGAAAUUAGUUUUUGUAACAUGCUUGAAGGAAGGAACUCAAACAAACGCUACAACCUUGUGAGACUUGAGCCUAAACGUUAUUUGGAGAGUUAUUAAUCUGUGCAUUCUUGUUUUCUAAAGUCGUUGCAUGAUCUCAUUAUUCUUUGCUUGGUUGCUACUUAGAAUGCGUUUCAUCAUUAUAAAUCCAAAUACUAGAACUCAUGCCCGUUCCAUUCAAAGCAUGAUAUUGAGUGCAUAACACAUAUUCAAGAUGAAGUUGUUUAGUUACCACCAAAGCCAAAAAGCCUAUCCCUUUUGUCAUAUGUUUUGUAGGUUUAACCCCUAUUGAGCCUUCGUUAGCCUAUUUUCUUUGUUAACCACAUUAUCCCUACCUAGCCUAGAUUAGGACUGUCCACACCCUUGUUCUUAAAGAAUAGUGAAGCAUGACUUAGAGGGAAUUCCUUUUGAUUUUGCAGAAAAACAAGUGUGGGGAAGGGUUUUCAAAGUGUGUUUUGUGUGCCAAAAGAAAGAAAAGGGAAUAAAAUAAAAUAAAAAUUCGUGGAAAAAGAAAAAGAAAAAGAAAAGUGUGUGAAAAGAAUGAAAAAGAGUUGAAAAAUAAGUGAGAAUGAACUCACAUGUGUUGGUUGUUGAAGAAAGGGUCCAAAAGUUUGAAUUUGACCCUAAGUGUUGCAUGAAUCUUCCCUUGUGUUAAAAGUUUAUUUUUGCAUUCAAAAGUGAAUUCUAAGUGUCAAUUUCAUUACUUUGCUUACUAUUUCUUUAAGAACCUUUGUUUAUCCUUACCUUCCUUUGUUAGCCAAUACCCUUAGCCCCGUUACAACCCUUAGACUUCAAUCUUGAGUGUUGUGUAUUUCAAUAUGUGGAGUUUAGAAUUGGUAUGAGCAUAUGAUAUCACUGGUUCUUGCUUCUAAGUAGUAGCAUUCCGUUCAUGAGAUCAUAUAUAUACAUGCAUUAAUAAUUCCAAAAAGUGCUUCUUUGCUUAAACAUAUGUGAGUACUAGUUUUCAUAUGUACAUCAAUCUUCUCACAUAUAUCUAGUAUAGGGUGUGUAGUUAGAAAAUCUGAGUGAAAAUUGAGUGCAUACCCUGUAAGGAAUUGAGCGAAUUCUCUAAGGCAUGUUACAACAUUCAAAACAUCGUUUUAAUUGGUUAAUUGUGCACUCGUAAGUGGUGACUAUGAUUAAGUAUAUGCUCGAGGGUAAGGAUGACUAAAAUCUGUGUAAGUAAUGAUUUUUAGCAUGUCAUGUGCAUUGGAAAUCCCUAAGACAAUUGUUGGAAGGUCUAGGUUGUGUUUUGUUUUGUUUUGUUUUGUUUGUUUUGUUUUGCUCGAGGACUAGCAAAAGCUAAGUGUGGGGGAAUUUGAUAGGAGCAUAUUUAUGCAACUUAAUUAGCUUGUUUCCUUGCAUUUAUGUUGCUAUUACUUAGUAAUUUUAGUAUUUUAAGCUAUUUUCGUGCAAUUUCAGGUUUUAAGGACAAAGUAUGCAAACAUGUGCAUUUUGGAGCCUUUUGGAGCAGUUUUGGGCAUCAAAUGGAUUGCAUAUGCUUGGAGGUAAGAAGAUGGACG